rnacentral:ncRNA from 1 species
CCUUAUUAAGAGUGGCUGAGGGACUAGGCCCAGUGAAGCCCGGCAACCUGAGCGCAUAUGCGGCUCAAGGUGCCAAUUCCUACAGAAGGCAGAAAUGCCCGAUGAAAGAUGAGG